UACGGAGGGUGCAAACGUUGCUCGGAAUUAUUGGGCGUAAAGCGCACGUAGGCGGCCAUGCAAGCUGGAUGUGAAAGCCCCGGGCUCAACUCGGGAAGUGCACCCAGAACUGCUUGGCUUGAGUUCCGGAGGGGCCCAGAGAAUUCCCGGUGUAGAGGUGAAAUUCGUAGAUAUCGGGAGGAAUACCAGUGGCGAAGGCGGGUCUCUGGGCCGAUACUGACGCUGAGGAGCGAAAGCGUGGGGAGCGAACAGG
rnacentral:rRNA from 1 species